rnacentral:tRNA from 2 species
GCGGGUGUAGCUCAGGGGUAGAGCGUCGGCCCCCCAAGCCGAAGGCCGCGGGUUCGAAUCCCGUCGCCCGCUCCA